UGAAUCCGGGUUCAUCCGACACCAGCCGCCUCCACCAUGCCGCCUAAGUUCGACCCCAACGAGAUCAAAGUCGUGUACCUGAGGUGCACUGGUGGGGAAGUCAGUGCCAUGUCUGCCCUGGCCCCCAAGAUCGGCCCCUUGGGCCUGUCUCCAAAAAAGGUCGGUGAUGACAUAGCCAAGGCAACUGGUGAUUGGAAGUGUCUGAGGAUUACAGUGAAACUGACCAUUCAGAACAGACAAGCCCAGAUUGAGGUGGUACCUUCUGCUUCUGCCCUGAUCAUCAAAGCCCUCAAGGAACCACCAAGGGACAGAAAGAAGCAGAAAAACAUUAAGCACAGUGGAAACAUCACUUUUGAUGAGAUCGUCAACAUUGCCCGGCAGAUGUGGCAUCGGUCUCUAGCUAGAGAACUUUCUGGAACCAUUAAAGAGAUCCUGGGGACCGCCCAGUCUGUGGGCUGCAAUGUUGAUGGCCGUCACCCUCAUGACAUCAUAGAUGAUAUCAACAGUGGUGCAGUGGAGUGCCCAGCUAGUUAAGAACUGCAAAGGAAAAAGAAAAAGGAUCAUUUGACAACCCCCCCAAAAAAAAGAGCUAAACAUGUAUCUCAUGAUGAAUUUUUUCUUCAAAUCAAUGUAAAACAAAUCACUUUAUUUUUGUUAACUAUAUUUGUAAUCUCUGUCUCAUGAAGCCAGUUGUUCUAGAGUCAGUCUUGAGAAUGUAGUAUGUAAUUCCCUUCUUGGGACCUUACAUAAAAUCUAUCCCAGUAAGACUAUACUUUCAGGGAUCAUUUCUAUAGUUCGUUACUAGAGAAGUUUCUCUGAUCGUGUAGAGCACCCGAAACCACGAGGAGGAGAUAUAGCAUUCUCUCCUGAGCGUGAAGUCGGCUCUUGGUGUUGCUUCUGCAGCUGCCAUUUGCCAUUGAUGAUCGUUCUUCAUUUCCUUUUUGGAAAAUGAAGAGGGAGAGGACGUAGAAAAAAAAGAAAAAAAAAAAAAAAAUCUAUCCCAGUGAAACUAGUAAUAGAAGACUUUAAGGUCCAGCAGAAGAAAUACUGCCUGUUGACACAAGCCUUAAUCUUUACAACAGGAGAACUAAUUGAUAAUUGUGUUAACAUUGAAGUAAAAAAGUACUGUAAAUCUCUUAUGGGUAUCUCUUGGGACUAGAUCUGAUUUUGGGAAAUAACAGUAAAUUCAGAUUGCUUAAUAUUAACCUGUUAAAUAUAGAAUUGUUUCCAGUUAGUGGUUAAAAAUCUUAUUCACAGAGGGCUAACCCAUGGCCAGGACAUGAGGGUUUUUGAAAUGACACCCACACAAUCCAGCUGCAUAGGUCUGGGAUCUAAGCAGUUUGAAACAUGGUGGUGGACUCUGCCAGAGCCACCUUCAGUCCAGCACCUUGAGUUUUAUUUAAAAGCUAGAUCUGAUAUUGGCAGUAUUUUUAUUAACAUUGAAAUAUUUUGAACUUUAGUCACUGUAAUUAAAGGAUAAAGGUACAAUAAGACCUCAAGAAUUUGUCACUAUCAAGAUGGAAAGAAUGUGCCACAUAAAAUUAGACAUAAGUUUAAAUUAUGAAGAAUUUUAAGAUGUAGAUUUAGGUAACAGUAAACAAAAGAAGGAAGGAAGGAGUGAGUGCCUGAGCAGAUAGCCCUAAACCUGCCAUGAUGCUGUCUUUGUAGAGUAUCUGGGUGCUCUGUCCAUGCAGGAAUAUGGGUUUGUUGGUUUCUCAUAAAGCAGCAGCAGACCCAACUUGCUGUCCCUUAGAAGCCAAACUGCCACAGAUAAGAUUGUUUCUGUUGGGUUCUUUUGUGAGCCAUUUUCAUAAAGAGAACAGACAAAUUUCAACCUAACCUCCAAAAUGAUGAUAAAUCUGAGCAGAAUUAAUGUUUCUAUUUGGAAAAGGAAGUGGCAAUCCACUCCAGUAUUCUUGGCUGGAGAAUCCCAUGGUUGGAGGAGCCCGGUAGGCUACAGUCCACAGAGUUGCAAAGAGUCGGACAUGACUGAGCGACUUCACUUUCACUUUAAUGUUUCUAUUAGAUGAUACUGACAUAACCCUUUGAAGAUUCAUGAGGUUUUUGCUGUUUGUAAUGGAUGAAGUUUGCUACAUCCUGAAGUAUUUGGAUUUCUACUUCAUAUCUACUCAGUAGACACUGAGGUAUAUUUCAGUGUUUGGACGUAAGUGACCUCAAAGCACAGUUUGUCCCAAAGCCUUUGCGGGCUUUCCUGUUCUUGUCUUCAGAACAUCAUACCACUAAGUAGCAGCUUAUCUUCAAGAACAUUCACUUAGUUGCAACAUUAACCAUGUUCACAUACUUUCUGAGAACUUACUGGUUGUAAUUUCAGAUAAUAUACACCUGGAGGCAUUUAACAUUCGUAACAUUUAACGUGUUAUUAGAACUCAAUUCUUGGAUUUUCUACAGUGCAAGCUUUGGUUGGGGAAAUAUUGAUUCAUGAUCCUUGAGUUCUCUAGGGAACAAAAAUUCCUCUAAUGACUGCUGCUCAGAGUCCUACCCCUUUCUGAGUUCUUUCUAUCCAUCUCAGUUAAAAAAAAGACUAGAUGCAGAUGGUAUUGUGCAAGGUAUGCCUGGGGUUAUAGAUUGUCCUCAAGCAGUAGCUGCUGCACCAACUGGAGAGGAGCCUUGCCAGGAAACUGAUGAUUCUACUUAAGGCCAAGAGUCCAGUCUCCUGACUGAAAGGUUUUCAUGGAAAAAUGCAGAGAUCAGCUAGUUGAAUAUUUAUUAUUCCAUUCCUAGAGGAUUAGACCAAGUCACCGUAAAUGAAUAAAAUGUCUUUUCAUUUUAAAAUACUGGUAGAGUUUUGCUUAUAGCUCUCAAAACUCAAAUUUUCAUUAUUAUUCCUGUGGUCCAUGAUGGUAAAUAUAGAAACAUAUGAGGAAAUUUUAGGGUUAUCAGAUAUUAGCCGUUGCAAACUGCAAAUUCCUAGGUUUCAGGGAAUUUUUUAUUUUUAUUUUGUCUUAUAUGUAAGUGGAUUAUCUUGAGGAAAAUCAUGGAACAUUGGGAGGGAUACUAAGAAUUCUGAAGCAAAACAGUUUAACCACGUUACUGUCAACUGUUUCACAGAUUAGGUAACAACGUGAUUGUCCAUCCUCUGCAUAAUAUUCCAACUGGUGACUGUUUGUAAACAUUUCCAAUUGCUAUGAAUUCAAGGAAAUUACUUUGGUGCAUGUAAUUUGCUACUUUCUUACCCCUUUAACUGUCCUGGUUUGAGUUUGGUUCCUACCUGAUGAAGUGUAUUUAGUAUGUAUUGUUCCACAUGCCUGGCAGGACAUGUCAGUGAAGGUGGGAGUACUGGAGGAGGUGCACAGGUUGAAAGACUUGAGUCAUGGUUGGACAGUGGUGACCCACCAACCUUCGAAUAAGCCAAACCACUAACCCCAUCUUCCUUUGUAAAAUUGAAAAACCCUUAAUAAACUCUGUAAUCAACAC